rnacentral:rRNA from 1 species
GAUGAACGCUGGCGGCGUGCCUAAUACAUGCAAGUCGAGCGAACGGACGAGAAGCUUGCUUUUCUGAUGUUAGCGGCGGACGGGUGAGUAACACGUGGAUAACCUACCUAUAAGACUGGGAUAACUUCGGGAAACCGGAGCUAAUACCGGAUAAUAUUUUGAACCGCAUGGUUCAAAAGUGAAAGACGGUCUUGCUGUCACUUAUAGAUGGAUCCGCGCUGCAUUAGCUAGUUGGUAAGGUAACGGCUUACCAAGGCAACGAUGCAUAGCCGACCUGAGAGGGUGAUCGGCCACACUGGAACUGAGAUACGGUCCAGACUCCUACGGGAGGCAGCAGUAGGGAAUCUUCCGCAAUGGGCGAAAGCCUGACGGAGCAACGCCGCGUGAGUGAUGAAGGUCUUCGGAUCGUAAAACUCUGUUAUUAGGGAAGAACAUAUGUGUAAGUAACUGUGCACAUCUUGACGGUACCUAAUCAGAAAGCCACGGCUAACUACGCG